AAUUCGUGAUGUGGACAGAUAUUUAUCAGAUCCUUGAACCUCUUCCAACAAGCCUGGAAAGUCUCAUCACCCUUCUGCAUAAACUGACUUAUCUACUCCUACUGGAACU